rnacentral:rRNA from 1 species
AUUGAACGCUGGCGGCAGGCCUAACACAUGCAAGUCGAGCGAGCGGCGGACGGGUGAGUAAUGUAUGGGGACUGCCCGAUAGAGGGGGCUAACUACUGGAAACGGUGGCUAAUACCGAAUACUAUCGGAUAACCCAUAUGGGAUUAGCUAGUAGUGUGGGUAAAGGGUCACCUAGGCGACGAUCUCUCGCUGGUCUGAGAGGAUGAUCAGCCACACGGGGACUGAGACACGGCCCAGACUCCUACGGAGGCAGCAUUGGGGAAUAGUGCACAAUGGGCGCAAGCCGGAUGCAGCCAUGCCGCGUGUAUGAAGAAGGCCGUAGGGUUGUAAAGUACUUUCAGCGGGGAGGCGUUACCCGCAGAAGAAGCACCGGCUAACUCCGUGCCAGCAGCCGCGGUAAUAA